GACGAACGCUGGCGGCGUGCCUAAUACAUGCAAGUCGAGCGAAGUUUUUCUGGUGCUUGCACUAGAAGAACUUAGCGGCGAACGGGUGAGUAACACGUAAAGAACCUGCCUCAUAGACAGGGACAACUAUUGGAAACGAUAGCUAAUACCGGAUAACAGCAUAAAUCGCAUGAUAUAUGUUUAAAAGUUGGUUUCGGCUAACACUAUGAGAUGGCUUUGCGGUGCAUUAGCUAGUUGGUGGGGUAAAGGCCUACCAAGGCGACGAUGCAUAGCCGACCUGAGAGGGUGAUCGGCCACACUGGGACUGAGACACGGCCCAGACUCCUACGGGAGGCAGCAGUAGGGAAUCUUCCGCAAUGGGCGAAAGCCUGACGGAGCAACGCCGCGUGAGUGAAGAAGGAUUUCGGUUCGUAAAGCUCUGUUGUUAGGGAAGAAUGAUUGUAUAGUAACUAUAUACAGUAGAGACGGUACCUAACCAGAAAGCCACGGCUAAUACGU
rnacentral:rRNA from 1 species